UACGUAGGGUGCAAGCGUUGUCCGGAAUUAUUGGGUCGUAAAGAGCUCGUAGGCGGUUUGUUGCGUCGGCUGUGAAUACCCGAGCUCAACCUCGGGUCUGCAGUCGAUACGAGCAAACUAGAGUGUUGCAGGGAGACUGGAAUUCCUGGUGAUAGCGGUGAAAUGCGUAGAUAUCAGGAGGAACACCGGUGGUGUAGACGGCUCUUCUGGACCGACA
rnacentral:rRNA from 1 species